AUAUUUCAUAAAGUAGCGUAUCGCGUAUCCUAUACCCAUACCACGACUCGAGAGUACUGUGAUCCAGGUAAAUUUACUAAAUGCUGUGUUUUCAUUUUUAGGUUUAGGGUUACUUUAACUUUUCUUUUCUCAUCUGCCUACAGCCUCCAUCUCUCUCUAUUUCUGUCUUCUCCUCCCAAUUUCUUGCCCUUCUCAAGUCUUAAUCAUUUUCUUUCCCUUCUUAAUUUCCUGCAAUUUACCUCCCACUUGUAUGCUUCUCUCCACCUCAACAACUCCAUCAACAUCCUCCUUAUUCUGACCCAGUUAUUAGAGUGAGUCUCAUGAUUAUCAGACCGUACAAUGGAGGCAUCAGAAGCUGCAGGUCUUGGUUUGCCGUUGGCUUUCUUUAGGCCUUCCUUUUUAGCAUGGCUGCAUUUGUUAGGUCGCACAGUGCUUCCAUGGCUGCAAGU
rnacentral:misc_RNA from 1 species